UGUGACUAUACUGAUACCACAACAUUGUGAAGCAUCUCCCUCCCUCAUAAUGGAGUCCAACACCACUCAUGCUUCUAUAUUCAAAUUAAAAAGCGGCAGAAACGAGAGGCUGGUUAACGGAGAAGAGAAGGACGAUCAAACCCUAAAUUCUCUACCGCCAUUUUUGCCGCCGUUCUCGCUGCCAUUUUCGCUGCCGGCACCAUUACCACUGCCGUGUUCGUUGCAGUAGAGAGCUUCCGGAUCGAACCACCUAUCUUAUCAACGCGUUUUCAAAUCUGUUUCUCUAUACUGUUGUUGCUGUCAUUGUUGCCACCGCAGUUUCCGCCGCGGUUGCCGUCACAGUUUCUGCCGCCGAUGCCAACGUAGUUGCCGUGGUACAACGCAUUUUCAGAUCUGUUCACUCCCGAGCUUCUUCUUCAACGCUGCUUUCUCUCACUCCAAUUUCUCCUUUGGACUGUCGCUGAUGAAGACAUUAGAAAGGAAUUUCUUAGUUCAUGGAAAACCAUGUCAAUGGUAGAUGAUGAUGCAAUGGAUUUUGGCUUUGACUCUAUUCCUAAAGGGAAGAAAAAGACAUUUGACUUUGAGAAACUGUGAGUCUUCUUGAAUUUUAGAGUUUGAUUUUGGCAAAGUGAAAUAUGAAGUCAAAGGAUGUUGUUAUUGGUUUCAUUCUGAAACAUCCUUCAUUUUAAAUGUUCCAGUUGACUGAUAAGAUGUUUGUAUUUAACACUUAUACUAGAGAAGGGUUAUAUGAUACAUUAAAUUUUUUAUUUCACUAAAGGCAGGAUAUACAUAUAUGCAAAUGUGAAUUAGUAGCACCUAUUUAUUUCUAAGAAAUACUCUCUUGCUGUCGGGACAUGAAUUUUAAUUUGGACGGUGAGUUCAAAAACAUAUCAUCAUUUAAGAUGGACAUGUCUGACCUUGAUUUUGCAUGCACACCCAAAAAGUCUUUCCAGUCUAAGGACAAAAAAGGAGAAUCUUCUGGUGGUGGAAAAGCAGGAAAAGAAGAUGCAUUUAAUUUCAGCUUUGAUUUUAAUGAGUAAGUGGCAAAGUACUCAAGAAAAUAAUCAUCUAAUGUGGAACAAUGUUAUUGUUGGCUUCAGCUAUGGUAGUGUGAGUGUUUUGAAGGUUCAAAUGUAUUAUCAUAUUGUCACUUCAUUAAUUAUCUGGUUAUGUUGCAUAUUAUGUAAAUGAAAGAAAUGUUUAAUAAAAUAAUAAUAAAAAUUAUUAUUGUUUUGCAGGAUAACAGUUGGAACUUGGAAUGUUGCUGGAAGACUUCAUCUAAGGAUCUUGAUAUUGAAGACUGGCUUUGUACUGAAGAACCAGCAGAUAUCUACAUCAUUGGAUGUGUGUUCUAUCAAUUUGCCUGAUAAUUUUGUUAUUUACUUUCUACUUUCUGUGUUUUUCUCCCCAAACUGUUUGCCUUUUCACAUUAAUGACAUUUGUACCUUUUUAUAUUUUUUUCCCCUUUUAUUAAUGACAUAUGUUAGGAUCACUCAAGAAGCUUUUGGGAGAAUCUUAUAUACCGUGAUCUAAUCUGAUUGUUCACAUAGCUCUGUGUUACAAGUUUAUUACAUAGUUUCAUUUAGUUUUUUUAUGUUAUAGUUCAUAGAGUUUUGUUGUUGAACUGUAUUAAUUGAUUUCAAUGAUAUUUAUCACCUAUUUAUUCAAUUAGUAUAUCUUAUUUGCAAAGUAUCUUUAUCUGCUAAAUCUUUUCACUGAUUAGCACACACAGAUUUAAUCAAGCAAAACUUCACCCUGGAAUCCUGUAAAUUUGUUCUUCACUGGAUGCUGAGUUUUUCAUUCCUAUGGUUCAUAAGAAUGGAUUUAGUGAAGAAAAAAUAUAUGCUUAGCAUGCAUUUACCAAAUAUCUAUCUGUAUCCUUAUGCUAAACUAAGCCUACUUCAUACACUUACACUAUGAGUUUCCAUUUUAAAAUUGGUCUUCUAAUUGGUCUUCAUAAGAAACUAAGCCUACCAAAUGUUAUUGUUGGCACCAGCUUUAAUGAAGUGACACAAAAUUUUAAUUGCCUAUACUAUUCAACUUCUAUGUGAAUGAUUUAGAGGUAAUUCAAUAUGGACCAUAUUCACUUAAUUAAUUCAUCUCCAAAAUAUUAUAGAAAAAAAAAUAAAUGUUAGUAGUUCUUCAAUUAUCUCCACAUCAUUCCAAGUCCAAAGAAGCCUUUACACAUCCUUCAGAAUGUUAGUGGAAUCAUAAAGCCCAAAAGGUGAAUGAUUAUUUUAUUAUUAUUUUCUUUUGUUUUCUUUCUCUAUUUUUAAUUUAUUUUGUUAUUGCUAAAAAAUACACCCACGAGAAUCAUAUAAAAUUUUAUUUAUUUAUUUUUUAUUUUGUUGCUGGUAUAAUGAUGAGGUUUGUUUUGUAGAAUGACUCUGUUGUUAGGAUCCCCAGUCUCAGGGAAGACCACAUUGCUAUUAGCCUUGAUUGACAUUUUGCUGGAAAAUUUGGCAAAGAUUUAAAAAAAUCAGGAGAGUAACGUACAAUGGGAAUGGGGUAGAAGAGUUUGUGGCACAGAGAAGUUCAGCGUAUAUUCGGCAACAUGGUUAAUUAGAUGAAUUAGUUUAGUACUUGAGUUUGUGGCCAAAGAUUUCAUAUGGAAAGACAGCCACUAAUAAUAAUAGCAGAGGCAGAGGCAGAACUUGUGACACAGACCUCUGUAUACCAAUGGUCAAUUGAAGAUGAGAUAACAUUAAUAUGUUUAACCUUAAUACUUUGGCC